rnacentral:tRNA from 1 species
UGGGGCGUCGCCAAGCGGUAAGGCACGGGACUUUGGCUCCCGCAUGCGAAGGUUCGAAUCCUUCCGCCCCAG